GCGCCUGCGUUCGCGGGAGCGCGCGCCUUGUGCUUCGCGCUCAGGAGCCCGCCUUCUCGCGGCCCCGCGGGCCUUCCGGCUUCAGGGACCCAGGCGGUCUGGCUUGAACACUUCCCCCUGCUGGCGGAAAAAGCCUUGGGACCCGACUCCCCAGAGUAGAUCACCAAAAUCUGAGCCCAUCCUCAACGAAAUUUUUAACCUGCCUGAGAAGAGGAGGAUGUGCCCCCUCAAUUGGAAAAGUUACAACUACCGCAACCAUCUGCCCUUGCUGAUUUCCUGCUUUUAAUCAAGUGGAUGCUACUAGAAAGAUUUAUACUGUAGGCUCCUCCAGUCAUUAUUUAUGGAGAGUUAUCUACUGUGUGCCAGGCACAGUAGAGAUACACAAGAAAAUCAGGUUCCAGACUUCAUGGUUGAAUGGAUUCCUCAGUCAUUUUGUGUCUUUUUUUAACUAAAGACAAUUUUCAAGAUACAGUAGCUAGGGUAUCUAAUGCUGUGAGGUCUUUUUAAAGUAUUGUGUAUCUAACCUCACUUGCUUUCCAAAAUGUCUUGUUUUGUAUGUUAAGUUCACAUUUCAUUUACAUUUGAAAACAUUGCCUCCCCAUGUUGCCAGAAUUUUUUUUUUUUUUUUGGUACUGGGGAUUGAACUCGGGACUUUGCACUUGUGAGGCAGGCAGUGGAACCACUGAGCUAAAUCCCCAGCCCUGUUGCCAGAAUUUUAAAAUAUCAAGAUAAGUAGCUGAGCAGUCUUUCCAUUGCUGUAUUUUAGAUAUAUUCUGUUGAUGAAAUUUUCUUGUUUUUAGCUAUGCAAUUAGCAUAUAAAUGCCCAUAUUGGAAAAUGCAAACUAUAUUAAGUUUUAUACUCUGGGAGGCAGAGGCAGAAAGAUCUAAUUGCAUGUUUGAGCUUAGCCUGGGCAACUUAUCAAGACCCUAAAAAUAAAAAAGUGGUCCCCUCAAAAAGAAAUUUUUAUUUCUCUUCCCAAACCACCCCCUGCCACAAUAACCACUAUAACAAAUUUUUUUUUUUUUGUACCAGGGAUAGAACUCGGGACCUUGUGAUUGCAAGGCAGGUGGCAGAACCACUGAGCUAAAUCCCUGGCCCACCGCUAUAACAAUUUUGUGUACAUGCUUUUCAGACCUUUCCUCUUUAUUUUUUCAUUAUGGUUCUUUCAAUCAAUUCUUUUAAUACAGCAUAAUAUUUCAUAAUUUAAUAUGACACAAUUUAACCUUUUCCAAAAUUGUAGAAAUUUACAUUAUUCCUAUUCAGUGUAACUAACAGUGUUGCAGAAAGUAUCAUGUAUAUAUGAACACAGUCUGCAUACGUAUGAUUACAUUUCAGGAAUAGAUUACUAGAAAGUAUAACUGCAGAACAAAGGACAUAAUAAGCACCUCAAGGCCAAGCAUGGUGGCGCACGCCUGUAAUCCAGCACUAGGGAGGCAGAGACAUGAAGAUCACUGAGUUCGAAACCAGCCUGGGGUACAUAGUGAGUUCAAGGCCAGCCUAAACUACACAGCAAGACCCUGUCUCAAAAAAACCACCUCAAAUUUCAUAGUAUUGUGUUCGCAAAAUGAUUCAAAAAAAGCCAUACCAAAAAAAAAAAAAGCCAUACCAAUUUACAGUCUAUUUGAAAAAAAAAAAGCACACCUGUAAUCCCAGUACUCUAUCCCAGCACUCUGGGAGACAGAAAGGAGGGUCACACGUUUAUGCUCAUCCUGAGCCCCUGUCUCAAAAUAAAGUUAAAAAAGAAAAGGCUGAGGAUAUACCUGAGUGCAGAGACCUUGGGUUAAUACACACUACCACAAGGCAAAAAAAAAAAAGAAAAGGUUAUGUCUCGACCCCAUACCUCAAGAUAACAAAUUUCAGGGCCGGCUCAGUGGUUUCACUACCUGCCUCCUUGCAAGCGCAAGGUCCCGAAUUCUAUCUGUACCAAAAAAAAAAAAAAAAAAAAA